rnacentral:rRNA from 1 species
UUACGGCCGUACCAUGCUGAAUAUACCGGUUCUCGUUAGAUCACCGAAGUUAAGCAUCAUUGGGCGCGGUCAGUACUUGGGUGGGUGACCCCCUGGGAACACUGCGUGCCGUU